GGACUCCCUAGGAUCCUUUCUCGAGGUAAACAAGUCUUCAUUUAAUUGGCUUUCCGACCCUUGUUCUGAUCCCCUAGCCUCCCUUGCAGAUUGGGCACCAGCUCCUUGCCCUCCAAGAGGUGAGGAGGGAUGCCAUCCAGGCGGAGGAGCAUCGUCGGGCCGAAGUCGCCCACCUCAAAGAAAAGGCCGCUGAAGUAGUUGCCCUCCAAGAGGCCCUGGAGAAAGAAAAGCAGGCC
rnacentral:lncRNA from 1 species